UUGAGUUUAGCAAUCUGUCACAAGAGAUCAUCCCAGAUUUGGAUUUAAACUUUCAAGAGUGAUUAAUUCCAAUAUACAAUAAAGGUGAUGACGAUAAAGAUUUCGGAGUGUUUGAAGAUUGAAGUUUUGCUUGAGGUUCAAUUAGGCUUUUGUGGGAUUUUUGGUCGUGAAUCGAAGGAGGUUUCAUGAAGGUAACCCGCCGGAGCUUCCGGAGGUUGACGCGGUGAGGAGAGCAAUAGAGGGGAAUUGUUUGAGAAAGUAGAUCAAUCGAGUCAUCAACGCCGACUACACCAAAGUGAUCAACGGAAUCUCACUACCCGAGUUUAAAAUCUCAAUCCUCUGGAAUUUAGAUUCUCUGCCAUUUCCGUCUUUUCAAUUCGGUAAUAUCUCUGAAACACAUUUUGGAGUUUGCUCUGUAUUAUUGUCUAACGCAUGUUAAAGUCUCCACCUUUAUAACUGUGAUGUAUAAGAAAUGAGUGAAAGGUUGAGGAGCUUUAUUGAUGGGUUUCUUCAGGAUUGAUGGGUUUCUUCAGGUAUGGCUGGUGCUAUAUACGUCAAAGGCGUUGCAGUUACUAAGUACAAAAGGUCUGCUGUAAAGUAAUCAGAGGAAUGGUCAUAAGUUCACAGUUUUUUGUUGAGGUUUGAGGAAUUUGAACACUCGAGAUGAGUUCACUAUUUGCUUCGGUCACAAAUGAAUUCUAAUUUUUUUGAUGAUGGUUUGGAGCUUUCAUUUGCUAAGAAGAGGAGAUUUGCCAUAGAUUUGGAGCUUUCAUUAAGGAGAUUUUCCAAAGUUAGAUUUUUAGUGAAGCCGGUUUCUGUGCGUCCAAUAUUAGAGAUUGGUCAUGAUGCAUUGUUGGAGCCUAUGACAGUUGUGGAUUUGCUAAAAGCUUAGCUAAAAUGUAAAUAACCAUAAAACUCUCUUACUUGAUAAGGUUAAGCUUUUUUUGUCACUUUCCUCUUACA